UAAUAAUAAUAAUAAUAAUGAUGAUGAUGAUGAUGAUGAUGUUUGCUUUGCAUUUGCCCUCACAACUUCCCUGCGAGGUACCUGAGAUGCUUGCUAUAUAAAUGGGGAACAGAAGCCUUCCCUAUGUGGAAAGACUGUAGCUGAAAAAUAUAUCCAGCAUCAUCAUCAUCAUCAUCAUCAUGAUCUUCUUCU